GGACAAGUAGCUCAACUGGUUAGAGCACCCCGGUCACAUCGGGGAGGUUGUGAGUUCAAGUCCCACCUUGUCCACCA
rnacentral:tRNA from 1 species